rnacentral:rRNA from 1 species
GCAUAUCAAUAAGCGGAGGAAAAGAAACUAACAAGGAUUCCCCUAGUAACUGCGAGUGAAGCGGGAAAAGCUCAAAUUUAAAAUCUGGUAGCCUUUGGUUGCCCGAGUUGUAGUCUGGAGAAGUGUCUUCCGCGCYAGCCCGUGUACAAGUCUCUUGGAACAGAGCGUCAUAGAGGGUGAGAAUCCCGUCUUUGACACGGACUACUGGUGCUUUGUGAUGCGCUCUCAAAGAGUCGAGUUGUUUGGGAAUGCAGCUCAAAAUGGGUGGUAAAUUCCAUCUAAGGCUAAAUAUUGGCGAGAGACCGAUAGCGAACAAGUACCGUGAGGGAAAGAUGAAAAGCACUUUGGAAAGAGAGUUAAACAGUACGUGAAAUUGUUGAAAGGGAACCGCUUGAAGUCAGUCGCGUCGUCUAGAACUCAACCUGGCUUUUGCUUGGUGCACUUUCUAGUUGACGGGCCAACAUCAGUUUUGACUGUCGGAAAAAAGCCUUUGGAAUGUGGCACCUACGGGUGUGUUAUAGCCUUUGGUUGUAUACGAUGGUUGGGACUGAGGACCGCAGCACGCCUUUAUGGCCGGGAUUCGUCCACGUACGUGCUUAGGAUGUUGGCGUAAUGGCUUUAAGCGACCCGUCUUGAAACACGGACCAAGGAGUCUAACAUGCCUGCGAGUGUUUGGGUGGUAAACCCGAGCGCGUAAUGAAAGUGAAAGUUGGGAUCCCUGUCGUGGGGAGCACCGACGCCCAUACCAGAACUACUGUGACGGAUAUGCGGUUGAGCAUGUAUGUUGGGACCCGAAAGAUGGUGAACUAUGCCUGAAUAGGGUGAAGCCAGAGGAAACUCUGGUGGAAGCUCGUAGCGAUUCUGACGUGCAAAUCGAUCGUCAAAUUUGGGUAUAGGGGCGAAAGACUAAUCGAACCAUCUAGUAGCUG